rnacentral:rRNA from 1 species
UGGGGAAUUUUCCGCGAUGGGCGAAAGCCUGACGGAGCAAUGCCGCGUGGAGGUGGAAGGCCUACGGGUCGUCAACUUCUUUUCUCGGAGAAGAAACAAUGACGGUAUCUGAGGAAUAAGCAUCGGCUAACUCUGUGCCAG